CUGGCGGCGUGCCUAAUACAUGCAAGUAGAACGCUGAAGAGAGGAGCUUGCUCUUCUUGGAUGAGUUGCGAACGGGUGAGUAACGCGUAGGUAACCUGCCUUGUAGCGGGGGAUAACUAUUGGAAACGAUAGCUAAUACCGCAUAACAAUGGAUGACACAUGUCAUUUAUUUGAAAGGGGCAAAUGCUCCACUACAAGAUGGACCUGCGUUGUAUUAGCUAGUAGGUGAGGUAACGGCUCACCUAGGCGACGAUACAUAGCCGACCUGAGAGGGUGAUCGGCCACACUGGGACUAAGACACGGCCCAGACUCCUACGGGAGGCAGCAGUAGGGAAUCUUCGGCAAUGGGGGCAACCCUGACCGAGCAACGCCGCGCGAGUGAAGAAGGUUUUCGGAUCGUAAAGCUCUGUUGUAAGUCAAGAACGAGUGUGAGAGUGGAAAGUUCACACUGUGACGGUAGCUUACCAGAAAGGGACGGCUAACUACGUGCCAGCAGCCGCGGUAAUACGUAGGUCCCGAGCGUUGUCCGGAUUUAUUGGGCGUAAAGCGAGCGCAGGCGGUUUGAUAAGUCUGAAGUUAAAGGCUGUGGCUCAACCAUAGUUCGCUUUGGAAACUGUCAAACUUGAGUGCAGAAGGGGAGAGUGGAAUUCCAUGUGUAGCGGUGAAAUGCGUAGAUAUAUGGAGGAACACCGGUGGCGAAAGCGGCUCUCUGGUCUGUAACUGACGCUGAGGCUCGAGAGCGUGGGGAGCGAACAGGAUUAGAUACCCUGGUAGUCCACGCCGUAAACGAUGAGUGCUAGGUGUUGGAUCCUUUCCGGGAUUCAGUGCCGCAGCUAACGCAUUAAGCACUCCGCCUGGGGAGUACGACCGCAAGGUUGAAACUCAAAGGAAUUGACGGGGGCCCGCACAAGCGGUGGAGCAUGUGGUUUAAUUCGAAGCAACGCGAAGAACCUUACCAGGUCUUGACAUCCCGAUGCUAUUUCUAGAGAUAGAAAGUUACUUCGGUACAUCGGUGACAGGUGGUGCAUGGUUGUCGUCAGCUCGUGUCGUGAGAUGUUGGGUUAAGUCCCGCAACGAGCGCAACCCCUAUUGUUAGUUGCCAUCAUUCAGUUGGGCACUCUAGCGAGACUGCCGGUAAUAAACCGGAGGAAGGUGGGGAUGACGUCAAAUCAUCAUGCCCCUUAUGACCUGGGCUACACACGUGCUACAAUGGUUGGUACAACGAGUUGCGAGUCGGUGACGGCAAGCUAAUCUCUUAAAGCCAAUCUCAGUUCGGAUUGUAGGCUGCAACUCGCCUACAUGAAGUCGGAAUCGCUAGUAAUCGCGGAUCAGCACGCCGCGGUGAAUACGUUCCCGGGCCUUGUACACACCGCCCGUCACACCACGAGAGUUUGUAACACCCGAAGUCGGUGAGGUAACCUUUUGGAGCCAGCCGCCUAAGGUGGGAUAGAU
rnacentral:rRNA from 1 species